AACGAACGCUGGCGGCAUGCCUAACACAUGCAAGUCGAACGAGACCUUCGGGUCUAGUGGCGCACGGGUGCGUAACGCGUGGGAACCUGCCCUUAGGUUCGGAAUAACUCCCCGACAGGGGUGCUAAUACCGGAUAAUGUCUUCGGACCAAAGAUUUAUCGCCUUUGGAUGGGCCCGCGUUGGAUUAGCCAGUUGGUAGGGUAAAAGCCUACCAAGGCGACGAUCCAUAGCUGGUCUGAGAGGAUGAUCAGCCACACUGGGACUGAGACACGGACCAGACUCCUACGGGAGGCAGAAGUGGGGAAUAUUGGACAAUGGGCGAAAGCCUGAUCCAGCAAUGCCGCGUGAGUGAUGAAGGACUUAGGGUUGUAAAGCGCUUUUACCCGGGAUGAUAAUGACAGUACCGGGAGAAUAAGCUCCGGCUAACUCCGUG
rnacentral:rRNA from 1 species